UGGGGAAUAUUGCACAAUGGAGGGAACUCUGAUGCAGCGACGCCGCGUGAACGAAGAAGGCUUUCGAGUCGUAAAGUUCUUCUAUAUGGGAAGAUAAUGACGGUACCAUAAGAAAAAGCCCCGGCUAACUACGUGCCAGCAGCCGCGGUAAUACGUAGGGGGCUAGCGUUGUCCGGAAUCACUGGGCGUAAAGGGUUCGCAGGCGGAAAUGCAAGUCAGGUGUAAAAGGCAGUAGCUUAACUACUGUAAGCAUUUGAAACUGCAUAUCUUGAGAAGAGUAGAGGUAAGUGGAAUUUUUAGUGUAGCGGUGAAAUGCGUAGAUAUUAAAAAGAAUACCGGUGGCGAAGGCGACUUACUGGGCUCAUUCUGACGCUGAGGAACGAAAGCGUGGGUAGCAAACAGG
rnacentral:rRNA from 2 species